rnacentral:rRNA from 1 species
UGCCAGCAGCCGCGGUAAUACGAAGGGGGCUAGCGUUGUUCGGAAUUACUGGGCGUAAAGGGCGUGUAGGCGGUCUAAUCAGUCAGAGGUGAAAGCCCUGGGCUCAACCUAGGAAUUGCCUUUGAUACUGUUAGACUAGAGUUCGGGAGAGGAUAGUGGAAUUCCCAGUGUAGAGGUGAAAUUCGUAGAUAUUGGGAAGAGCACCAGUGGCGAAGGCGGCUAUCUGGGUCGAUAUUGACGCUGAGGCGCGAAGGCGUGGGUAGCGAACGGGAUUAGAUC